AUCUCUUACCCAUGUCUUUUGAGUACCUUCGUUUCCUCGGCGGGUCCGCCCGCCGAUUGGACAACUUAAACCAUUUGCAGUUGCAAUCAGCGUCUGAAAAAACUUAAUAGUUACAACUUUCAACAACGGAUCUCUUGGUUCUGGCAUCGAUGAAGAACGCAGCGAAAUGCGAUAAGUAGUGUGAAUUGCAGAAUUCAGUGAAUCAUCGAAUCUUUGAACGCACAUUGCGCCCCUUGGUAUUCCAUGGGGCAUGCCUGUUCGAGCGUCAUUUGUACCUUCAAGCUCUGCUUGGUGUUGGGUGUUUGUCUCGCCUCUGCGCGUAGACUCGCCUCAAAACAAUUGGCAGCCGGCGUAUUGAUUUCGGAGCGCAGUACAUCUCGCGCUUUGCACUCAUAACGACGACGUCCAAAAGUACAUUUUUACACUCCGGCGAGUGAAGCGGCAACAGCUCAAAUUUGAAAUCUGGCUUCGGCCCGAGUUGUAAUUUGUAUAGGAAGCUUUUGGUGAGGCACCUUCUGAGUCCCCUGGAACGGGGCGCCAUAGAGGGUGAGAGCCCCGUAUAGUCGGAUGCCGAUCCAAUGUAAAGCUCCUUCGACGAGUCGAGUAGUUUGGGAAUGCUGCUCAAAAUGGGAGGUAAAUUUCUUCUAAAGCUAAAUACCGGCCAGAGACCGAUAGCGCACAAGUAGAGUGAUCGAAAGAUGAAAAGCACUUUGAAAAGAGGGUUAAAUAGCACGUGAAAUUGUUGAAAGGGAAGCGUUUGUGACCAGACUUGCGCCGUUCCGAUCAUCCGGUGUUCUCACCGGUGCACUCGGGACGGCACAGGCCAGCAUCGGUUUUGGCGGGGGGACAAAGGCCCUGGGAACGUAGCUCCUCCGGGAGUGUUAUAGCCCAGGGCGUAAUGCCCUCGCCGGGACCGAGGUUCGCGCAUCUGCAAGGAUGCUGGCGUAAUGGUCACCAACGACCCGUCUUGAAACACGGACCAAGGAGUCAAGGUUUUGCGCGAGUGUUUGGGUGUAAAACCCGCACGCGUAAUGAAAGUGAACGUAGGUGAGAGCUUCGGCGCAUCAUCGACCGAUCCUGAUGUAUUCGGAUGGAUUUGAGUAAGAGCGUU
rnacentral:sRNA from 1 species